UACGUAGGGUGCGAGCGUUGUCCGGAAUUAUUGGGCGUAAAGAGCUCGUAGGUGGUGUGUCGCGUCGGAUGUGAAAGCCCGGGGCUUAACCCCGGGUCUGCAUUCGGUACGGGCAUGCUGGAGUUCGGUAGGGGAGACUGGAAUUCCUGGUGUAGCGGUGAAAUGCGCAGAUAUCAGGAGGAACACCGGUGGCGAAGGCGGGUCUCUGGGCCGAUACUGACGCUGAGGUGCGAAAGCGUGGGGAGCAAACAGG
rnacentral:rRNA from 1 species